rnacentral:rRNA from 1 species
GAGGGGGAUAACUACUGGAAACGGUAGCUAAUACCGCAUAACGUCGCAAGACCAAAGAGGGGGACCUUCGGGCCUCUUGCCAUCGGAUGUGCCCAGAUGGGAUUAGCUAGUAGGUGGGGUAACGGCUCACCUAGGCGACGAUCCCUAGCUGGUCUGAGAGGAUGACCAGCCACACUGGAACUGAGACACGGUCCAGACUCCUACGGGAGGCAGCAGUGGGGAAUAUUGCACAAUGGGCGCAAGCCUGAUGCAGCCAUGCCGCGUGUAUGAAGAAGGCCUUCGGGUUGUAAAGUACUUUCAGCGGGGAGGAAGGGAGUAAAGUUAAUACCUUUGCUCAUUGACGUUACCCGCAGAAGAAGCACCGGCUAACUCCGUGCCAGCAGCCGCGGUAAUACGGAGGGUGCAAGCGUUAAUCGGAAUUACUGGGCGUAAAGCGC